rnacentral:rRNA from 1 species
GAUGAACGCUGGCGGCGUGCCUAAUACACGCAAGUCGAGCGAACAGACGAGGAGCUUGCUCCUUCGACGUUAGCGGCGGACGGGUGAGUAACACGUAGGUAACCUACCUAUAAGACUGGGAUAACUUCGGGAAACCGGAGCUAAUACCGGAUAAUAUUUCGAACCGCAUGGUUCGAUAGUGAAAGAUGGCUUUGCUAUCACUUAUAGAUGGACCUGCGCCGUAUUAGCUAGUUGGUAAGGUAACGGCUUACCAAGGCAACGAUACGUAGCCGACCUGAGAGGGUGAUCGGCCACACUGGAACUGAGACACGGUCCAGACUCCUACGGGAGGCAGCAGUAGGGAAUCUUCCGCAAAGGGCGAAAGCCUGACGGAGCAACGCCGCGUGAGUGAUGAAGGUCUUCGGAUCGUAAAACUCUGUUAUUAGGGAAGAACAAACGUGUAAGUAACUGUGCACGUCUUGACGGUACCUAAUCAGAAAGCCACGGCUAACUACGUG